rnacentral:misc_RNA from 1 species
GCAAACUUGGUCAUUUAGAGGAAGUAAAAGUCGUAACAAGGUCUCCGUAGGUGAGUGACGACUUCGACCAUCCACGUGCCCACGCGAGCGGCGAUGCUAACAGCUUUCCAGGUGAACCUGCGGAGGGAUCAUUACCGAGCGAGGGCCUCGCGCCCGACCUCCAACCCUUUGAAGUUACCAACUCAGUUGCCUCGGGGGCGAACCGGACGUCGCGCCGGCGCCCCCGGCGGACCACACCACUCUGCGUUCUUGCGUCGGAGUCUGAGGGGAAUUUGAAUCAAAACUUUCAACAACGGAUCUCUUGGUUCUGGCAUCGAUGAAGAACGCAGC